AUCAGCAACGUUUCGAGCUUAUGACUUCGCCGUCAACUAUGAGCGUGCGGUGAGCCAGCGCAGCUCAAUGAGCAUGAUGCUUCGUGCGACUCGGUUGCUCGAGAGCACGAAUCGCCUGACCGUUGCAACUGAACCGCUCGAAGCUGCUGGAACGUUGGCCGCACCGGAGUGGCUGGCUAAUGCCGAGCUGGUAUGGCAGGCGGGUAAUCUGAGCAUCGGUUGGGCUACGCAAUUCUUUGACUCGUAUUGGCUGAACAGCGCGCAUUCGUUUGUGCCGGCGCAAGGCUCGGCACGUGUCGGAUCAAUC
rnacentral:misc_RNA from 1 species